UACACGGUAUUUACAGAAAGAAGUACACGUUCAUUGAGAAAGAAUCAGUAUACUCUUAAUGUGGAAUUGGGAACCACCAAGACAAAAACAAAGCAUUGGUCAAACUCUUCUUUUGGAUUAAGAUAG
rnacentral:rRNA from 1 species